ACUCAGGUCAAAGCUGAGUUAAUGAGAUCGGUGGCACCUGGGGGAGGUGCCAGAUCCUCCCUAAAUCUCACUUCCUGGGUGUGCCUCUGGUCUCUCACAGACAAGACAGGUUGGCUCCAAGCUGGGCCACCUGCUGACCUCAUCCCUGGAAGCCAUCCCAGGCUGGAUCCUUUCCUCCCCACUUUGGAAAGCUGGCACGUGGCUGGGUGGCCUGGCUGCCACUGGCUCCGCUGCUGCUCUUGGGAGGGCAGAGGCUCCCCUCAGCCUGGUCCAGGCCCCUGUUCUCCCUAGUUGCCAUCCUUCGGUAUCCUGUUGUUCCCUGGGUGGUCCCUGGACCAGCUGGCCUGUCCUCUUGGUAAUGAUGCAGGAUCCAGGAAGGGGCUUGGUUUGCAUCACAGCUUCAAAGAUUCAGAGUUGGAACAGAUCCCAGUUAGUUCAGAUUCUCUGCCCCCGGAAAGACCACACAGAGUCCUGGGCUCCACCCUGCAGCUCUUGUCUUCAUUCCACCACUACUAAAGUCAUUCUCUGUUUCCACCACUGGAGUGUCAGCUCUGCAAGAUCAGCGACAGGGCCUUCUGCAUCACCAAACCCUCUGCUGCAUCAGUGGUGUAGAAUCGAUACGUGAACGGAUAGUUUAUGCUUCAGAGAGGGUGUGAAGGGCAAAUAUCUAGAAUGUAUAAAGAACCACAAAAAUUAAACACGUUCCCCAAA